UGUUCGAAGAAAAAGAAGAGCCCUAAUUACUAGAAUACUUUUAGGAGAUGAAACAUUAGGGUUUCAUUGAUCUUUAAUAAAUGUCGAGUUGGAUGCUCCAGGAAUUCUUGUACAUAAUGACCAACAUCAGAAGGUAGAUCCAACUGAAUUUGUUUUAAAGGACAAUCUUAUCCAAGAAAGAGAAGAAUCGAAAGAAGAAGAACUAGAAGAAGAGGA
rnacentral:lncRNA from 1 species